CUGGAACUUUGAAAGUCAGGAUUAAGUCUUUAAAAUUAUUUCAGGUGCAAAUUUGCAGUCAUCAAAAAAAAAGAAGUAGAAGACUGUACAUCUACAGAAUGAAAUUGGAGCAGCAUCCUCUCUGAGUGAGAACUGAACCAGUCACUCUCUGGAGUCCUUCAUUACUGCUCAUCUGGCGGGGUAGCAGCUGAUGGAUGUGAGUGUCCUUCCUGGCCAGCCACUGUGCUGUUUGUCCUGCACUCCCAGCAGAGAACGAGAGACCAAGAUGAUCUCCAUGCCCCUGUGGAGCACAGCUGCGCUGCCAAAUGAAGGAUAAAGAGGAGGGAGACACAUUUCUUCUGACCUAGCUCCUCAGUCACUUGAAAGUCUCCAGGAAAAGCAAAAGGUUAGUAUUGUCUUCCCUGCUUGAAGUUUGAUAGCAUUGCACCCAUUCCUUUACACUGCA
rnacentral:lncRNA from 12 species